CAGUCGCCGCGGUAAUACGAAGGGGGCUAGCGUUGCUCGGAAUGACUGGGCGUAAAGGGCGCGUAGGCGGCGGCCAAAGUCAGGCGUGAAAUUCCCGGGCUCAACCUGGGGGCUGCGUUUGAUACUUGGUUGCUUGAGUGGGGAAGAGGGUCGUGGAAUUCCCAGUGUAGAGGUGAAAUUCGUAGAUAUUGGGAGGAACAUCAGUGGCGAAGGCGGCCAUCUGGGACAACACUGACGCUGAAGCACGAAAGCGUGGGGAGCAAACAGGAUUAGAUACCCCAGUAGUCCCUGUCUCUUAUAC
rnacentral:rRNA from 1 species